rnacentral:rRNA from 1 species
UACAGAGGUCUCAAGCGUUGUUCGGAUUCAUUGGGCGUAAAGGGUGUGUAGGUGGCGCCGUAAGUCGGGUGUGAAAUUUCGGAGCUUAACUCCGAAACUGCAUUCGAUACUGCGGUGCUUGAGGACUGGAGAGGAGACUGGAAUUCAUGGUGUAGCAGUGAAAUGCGUAGAGAUCAUGAGGAAGACCGGUGGCGAAGGCGGGUCUCUGGACAGUUCCUGACACUGAGACACGAAGGCCAGGGGAGCAAACGGG